GACGAACGCUGGCGGCGUGCUUAACACAUGCAAGUCGAACGGAAAGGCCCUGCUUUUGUUGGGUGCUCGAGUGGCGAACGGGUGAGUAACACGUGAGUAACCUGCCCUUGACUUUGGGAUAACUUCAGGAAACUGGGGCUAAUACCGGAUAGGAGCUCCUGCUGCAUGGUGGGGGUUGGAAAGUUUCGGCGGUUGGGGAUGGAAUCGCGGCUUAUCAGCUUGUUGGUGGGGUAGUGGCUUACCAAGGCUUUGACGGGUAGCCGGCCUGAGAGGGUGACCGGCCACAUUGGGACUGAGAUACGGCCCAGACUCCUACGGGAGGCAGCAGUGGGGAAUAUUGCACAAUGGGCGGAAGCCUGAUGCAGCAACGCCGCGUGCGGGAUGACGGCCUUCGGGUUGUAAACCGCUUUCGCCUGUGACGAAGCGUGAGUGACGGUAAUGGGUAAAGAAGCACCGGCUAACUACGUG
rnacentral:rRNA from 1 species